CCCAUCCCACCUCGUCCUUAUCACCCGAUCCGAUAAUCUCUUUCAUUUAGCUUUCACUUUUCCAAGUUUUCUUUUAUCUGAGAAGAGCAUAGAAAAACCCUAAUCAUCUACUAAAUCCCCGUAAACCAAAUCGAUAACCCUCCAUCCCCGCAUCUCUUUCCCAAUCUCUGCUCAAACAACAAAAAUAACGCUGAAGAACUAGAAGAAAAGGAAAGAAGAAGUAGAUUAUGUUGAUGAAGACGGAGAAAUGGGUUUUCAGCAACAAAAGAUGAUGACUACAAGUAUGGAGAUGGAGAUGGAGAUCUUGUGAAAUAAUGAGAUGGAAUCUUCCAAGGCUUUAAGAGUUCUUCAAAGACCCAUCUUUUGCUGCCAUAUGCCCCUCAGAUCUUCUUGUUCUUGAUGGCUUGUACUUGGUUAAGGAAAUGAAUCGAUGAUGUUUUUGUAAAGACUGUGAUUGGGGUACUUGGAGAGCUCCAAAUUGGAUGAAAUGCCCAGUGGCGGUGUCCUUUGGUUCUGGAGGAGAACUUGUUUCAUAUAAACAUAGUCAGUCAGUUACCAAUCCGCAAACUGGAAGUUCCGAGGGAUCAUUCGACCUUUCCUUAACGUAUUGAUUUUUGAGGAACUGAAGGGAGCUGUUGCAAAUGCUUUUUUUGAUUUUACCACGCCACCCAUCAAUGACGAAUAUAACUGCCUCAUUAAUGCUAUAAUGGAUCCAAGUGGAUGUUAUACGAUGUAUACGCAAUACUUUGGAGAUGUGUCACUAGGUAAUAUGAUUAGGAGGAAUAAAACUCCUGUAGUCCUAUAGGGGAGACUAAAUAAAAUGCAGAUGAAGUGGCAGUCUUAGUAGAUUGAAUGCUAGUUCAUAUUUUCAGUGUGAUUUUGAGUUGGAAAUGCAGGAUGAAUUUAUCCUUUUUUGGUUGUAAUGUAAAACUGAAUUCAUCUUUCAAAUGCAAUGUACACUCGAUUUCAGAUUCUA